CCAGAAGCCCAAUGCUUCUGCAGGCCCCCCACCUCCAGAAAGAGGGGGGUUGAGCUUCAGGGGCACAGAAGGACAUCUCCAAGGCAAUCAGGCACCACACGAAUGUCUGGACAGCCUCACAGAAAUCCCCAGAUCUGAGUCUAAGGACCACCAGAGCAUCUCGACUGAUCCAGCUGAAACCAGAAAGGAAAGGCCCAUCUUGCAUGGCUCUGGGGAUGAGGGGCUUACUACCCCACCUCUUGGAGCAGUCCAGGCCCCUUCGGUGCUUUCCUGGUGUCCAGCCUCAGUUUGCUUGCCUGCACCUUCUCCACACUGCUCCUAGUUCUGCCUCUGGGACCACACAGGACAAGAUUCAUCCCUCCUUCACAUGCCAUUUAGGUCUGCCUGCAUGCUGCUUUCAUCCCAAAGACCACAUCUGGACUCCCAUAUCUGGGGGAAGCCAGACAACUGUGGACAAAUGGCAUCAGCUCUUCGGGCUUUACCGGGAGGCACCAUGACUGCAUCACUUCCAUGGAAGGUGCCAUGCCUUAGUCACAUCACCAAGACUUAGGGGCACUGACUGCAGCUGUUCUACAAAGCUAAGGCCCUCAAAUCUGGCCUAGAGCCUGACUCAAAGCCCAGGAGCAGUUUUAGGGCCCAUCUCCUCACUCACUGGACACCUGCAGAGUCUAGAAACAGCAGCUGAGAAAAGCAACAAGCAUUUAUUAUGUGCCGGGCUCUGCAGUAAGUGCUGGGAAUAAAGAGGAAGGCAAAAACA